GCCCGCCUAGCUCAAUCGGAUAGAGCGUCAGACUCUUAACUAGGCAGAUGUAUCUGAAGGCUGCGAGUUCGACCCUCGCGGUGGGCU